AAAAACUAUAGAAAUAACUUAAUUACUUGAUAUAAUCUUUUUCAAAAUUUUCUGAUCGGAAAGGAAAACUUUCCAUAUACCGAUAUAGUCUAAAACCAAUUUAGUGACUUCAAUCUUUGCCUCUUUUGCCUUUAUCAGAAGCAGCCCAAGCCAAAUAAAGCGCAAUAUCAUGCAAAUAAUAUCUGCAAUCUCAAGUUUCUGCUUUAACUUUACAUCCUCUCAAUUUUACCUUCUUAGGUAUGGAGUCCGUGAUAUGGAU
rnacentral:misc_RNA from 1 species